rnacentral:rRNA from 1 species
AUAGCGUAUAUUAAAGUUGUUGCAGUUAAAAAGCUCGUAGAUGAACCUUGGGUCUGUGCGACUGGUCCUCGUCACCGAGUGCACUGGAAGUGCGGACCUUUCCUUCUGGCAAACCUCAUGCUCUUCACUGAGUGUGUUGGGGAACCAGGACUUUUACUUUGAAAAAAUUAGAGUGUUCAAAGCAGGCAUUUGCUCGAAUACAUUAGCAUGGAAUAAUAGAAUAGGACGUGCGGUUCUAUUUUGUUGGUUUCUAGGACCACCGUAAUGAUUAAUAGGGAUAGUCGGGGGCAUCAGUAUUCAAUCGUCAGAGGUGAAAUUCUUGGAUCGAUUGAAGACUAACUACUG